GACGAACGCUGGCGGCGUGCCUAAUACAUGCAAGUCGAACGUGAGCGACCGGUGCUUGCACUGGUCAAUCUAGUGGCGAACGGGUGAGUAACACGUGGGUAACCUGCCCAUCAGUGGGGGAUAACAUCCGGAAACGGAUGCUAACACCGCAUAGGUCUUCGAGCCGCAUGGCUUGUAGAGGAAAAGAGGCGCAAGCUUCUGCUGUUGGAUGGACCCGCGGUGCAUUAGCUAGUUGGUGAGGUAACGGCUCACCAAGGCCGUGAUGCAUAGCCGACCUGAGAGGGUGAUCGGCCACAUUGGGACUGAGACACGGCCCAAACUCCUACGGGAGGCAGCAGUAGGGAAUCUUCCGCAAUGGACGCAAGUCUGACGGAGCAACGCCGCGUGAGUGAAGAAGGUUUUCGGAUCGUAAAACUCUGUUGUUAGAGAAGAACAAGUGCUAGAGUAACUGUUAGCGCCUUGACGGUAUCUAACCAGAAAGCCACGGCUAACUACGUG
rnacentral:rRNA from 1 species